rnacentral:rRNA from 1 species
UACGUAGGGGGCUAGCGUUGUCCGGAAUCAUUGGGCGUAAAGAGCGCGUAGGCGGCCAGAUAAGUCCGGUGUGAAAGUCAAAGGCUCAACCUUUGAAUGCCGCUGGAAACUGUCUGGCUAGAGUCCGGGAGGGGCGAGUGGAAUUCCUGGUGUAGCGGUGAAAUGCGCAGAUAUCAGGAGGAACACCAAUGGCGAAGGCAGGUCUCUGGGCUGACACUGACGCUCAUGCACGAAAGCGUGGGGAGCAAACAGG